ensembl:lncRNA
AUACGGACUUUAAAACCCAUCUCGCUGUGCCUGUGGGACAUUGUCAGCCCCGCUGCAGCUCAUUUGGAGAAGAAGUGGGAGCUGGUUUGAGUUCUCAGGGCAGCUUGUGGCUCCCCAGACCUGGUGGGCCCACGAGGUGCCCUCUGCCUCUUCCCCCCUUGGCUGCCAGGACCAGGACAAGAAGAUGGCGGCGGCCCCGUGCCACCCCACGGGGCUCGGCCUGCAGGGAGCUGCCUCCCUUUCUCUUGCACCGCAGCCUUUGUGCGAGUGUCAGCCGAGCAUCCCUCUCAUCUCCCAGAUUGAUGGCACCGUCUAGGACUUCCAGCACAGACAAGAUAAACUAAAGGCUUCUGCAGACAGGUGUGUGCCUACCCUUUCCACAAGUAAAGAUUCUGUCAACGUGCGUGACACUUUUGGGACAAGACAAAAAAUUUGGAUCCUGGGCAUGGCUGGUGGUCAGUGGUCAUUCCAUAAAGGAUUUCACAAAGCAACAGAAACAGAGACUCAGGAGAAGCCUCUGGUCAGGAACACAAAUGGAAAAAGAAACACGAAACAUCCCCGGGAUGAAUGCAGGAGCUGUCCAGAGCAAAGAGGGAAAUCCUGGUGUCUGUGAGGUAGCACGAAAACUGACAGGUACAAAUCCAACCUCUGAAAUGCCAGGCAGAUUUUCUCUGAUUUUUCCAGAUUACCUGAUUUGCUGACUUUUGGAAAAUAUUGUGAGAUUCUUGGACCAAAAUGCAAAUGAAUGACCUGCGAAU